rnacentral:rRNA from 1 species
GAGUUUGAUCGUGGCUCAGAUUGAACGCUGGCGGCAUGCCUUACACAUGCAAGUCGAACGGCAGCACGGGAGCUUGCUCCUGGUGGCGAGUGGCGAACGGGUGAGUAAUGCAUCGGAACGUAUCCUGGAGUGGGGGAUAACGUAGCGAAAGUUACGCUAAUACCGCAUAUUCUGUGAGCAGGAAAGCGGGGGACCUUUGGGCCUCGCGCUCUUGGAGCGGCCGAUGUCGGAUUAGCUAGUUGGUGAGGUAAAGGCUCACCAAGGCGACGAUCCGUAGCAGGUCUGAGAGGAUGAUCUGCCACACUGGAACUGAGACACGGUCCAGACUCCUACGGGAGGCAGCAGUGGGGAAUUUUGGACAAUGGGGGCAACCCUGAUCCAGCCAUGCCGCGUGAGUGAAGAAGGCC